rnacentral:rRNA from 1 species
AUUGAACGCUGGCGGCAUGCCUUACACAUGCAAGUCGAACGGUAACAGGUCUUCGGAUGCUGACGAGUGGCGAACGGGUGAGUAAUACAUCGGAACGUGCCCGAGAGUGGGGGAUAACGAGGCGAAAGCUUUGCUAAUACCGCAUACGAUCUCAGGAUGGAAGCAGGGGACCGCAAGGCCUUGCGCUCACGGAGCGGCCGAUGGCAGAUUAGGUAGUUGGUGGGAUAAAAGCUUACCAAGCCGACGAUCUGUAGCUGGUCUGAGAGGACGACCAGCCACACUGGGACUGAGACACGGCACAGACUCCGACGGGAGGGAGCAGUGGGGAAUGUUGGACAAUGGGCGCAAGCCUGAUCCAGCCAUGCCGCGUGCAGGAUGAAGGCCUUCGGGUUGUAAACUGCUUUUGUACGGAACGAAAAGACUCCUUCUAAUAAAGGGGGUCCAUGACGGUACCGUAAGAAUAAGCACCGGCUAACUCUGUGCCAGCCGCCGCCGUAAGAC